UCAAAAAAGCCCUGCCCUCUGUACGAGGUUGUAUUAAUUGUGUCUCGAUUUAGAGUUGACCCCCCGUCAAAUUUAUGACAUCAUAUGAAACACAAUAAUAUACAGUAUAAUAUUACAGCUAAUUGUAGCAGAAAGUAUUUAACGAUUUUAAUUUAUUGAGUAGUACAAUAUGCCAAGGCAAUCCCUUUAUUAAUCUUGUCCACAUAGUAAUUCAAAGAAGCUCUGUACGAGGUUGUAUUAAUUGGAUUCUGUCCAAGAAAAUGUCAUAAACCUUUUGAUCCAAAUGUAACAAAGUAUGAAUUCCAGAUUGGGAAACCAUAUAAACAUUUUUAAUAAAUUCAUAUACUUUUUUAAAGAAAUGUUC